UUGGGGAAACCAGGUUAGGGUAAAAGGAGAGAAAGUCACAGAGAGUCCUUAGCUUCUUUCUCUUCUCUCUCUUUUCUCUCUGUUGUGUGAAUUUCUCAGUGAAAAAUAGAAUAAUCGAUUCAUGCGUGUCUCCGUACUAUUGAUCCGCAAAUUUCUUCAGAUAAAGCCCACGCAACACCCGACUCUGAAAUCUGGGGCUCUGUUGUGGAAAGUCACAGAGAAAGUCACAGAACUGCUUGUUUUUCAUGUUCCUAUUUAACAAAGGAAAAUACUUCUUUGUGACCACUGAGAUGGACAAGUUUAACUUCUCUAGAGCAGUAGGUGAAUCCAUUUCAAUGAAUCACCACAACAAUAAUCCAAGUUAGUGUAGAGUUGCAUGCUGAAGUCUGGCCUCAGAGCCUUUCUUUCCUUAAGGUUGCAUUGGACCACUUUUAAAUAUAUCUGACAAGGAGUUAACACACCUGCAGGCUAGUUUCUCCCCACUGAUUAUUUGUGGUUGUACCAGACAAGAAAUUAGUAAAGCAUUUACAAAAGGAGGUUGCCCGACUUGAAGCUAAGCUACGAAGUCCAGAACCUUCUUCCUUUGCAUGUUUAAGAACUUUACUGAUGGAGAAGGACUUGAAAAUCCAGCAGGUGUUCACUACUCACCAUUGGAUGGUUCGGAUAUACAAAUUAAAACCUCCGAAGAACAGGAUCCGAGUAAAAACAAAGAAAUCAAAAUCGAAAGCAAGCUCCACAACCAGCUCAAAAAAAAAAGCGGAAAAAAAAAAGAAGAAUCCCUGGCAAUGAAAGGCACUUUCAGAAGAUGCUGUCUCCAAUCAGUUACUUGUAACCCACAUAUUUAAUAUCCAAAACACUAAUUCGUUCUCUUAAAAGUAAUUUCUACAGCAAUUUUAUCGUGGUCAAUCCCAAACAGGCCUUUAUUAUGAUUUCUAUAUCCAUAUCCUCUCUUUUCAAUUUCUUCCUUU